rnacentral:lncRNA from 1 species
GUGAGCCCAGGGCAAGGCCGCUGCACCUGCGCCAGGGAUGCUUGAAAUCCACCGAAAGGGGACAGCCACGUGCUUCCCCUCAGGGAUGGAGAGCCUGAGUUGGGUGUGGACCUCAACACUUCCUGAAAGUGAAAACUGAAAGUGUUUGGACAAACUGAGGAGAAGAGUGUGGCCCUCUUUACCCCACUCCGUAAAAGACACUGUGAUCAAGAUUUCUGUUAGAGAGAAAAGAGAAGAGAAGGGAAAAAGGAAGAAGAGA